rnacentral:rRNA from 1 species
ACCCUACUGCUAUCGGGGGAGGACUAAAACAUGCAAGUCGUGCGUCUCCAAGCCACGGUGGAGACGCGGCACACGGCUCAGUAACACGUGGCUAACCUACCCUUGAGACGGGGACAACCCCGGGAAACUGGGGCUAAUCCCCGAUAGGAGAAGACACCUGGAACGGGUCUUCUCCCAAAGGGCGUCCGGACCAUGCUUCUGGGCGCCGCUCAAGGAUGGGGCCGCGGCCGAUCAGGUUGUUGGUGAGGUAACGGCUCACCAAGCCUAUAACCGGUACGGGCCGUGAGAGCGGGAGCCCGGAGAUGGGCACUGAGACAAGGGCCCAGGCCCUACGGGGCGCAGCAGUUGCGAAAACUCCGCAAUGCACGAAAGUGUGACGGGGCUACCCCGAGUGCCGUCCGCUGAGGGCGGCUUUUCCCCGGUGUAAGGAGCCGGGGGAAUAAGGAGAGGGCAAGUCUGGUGUCAGCCGCCGCGGUAAUACCAGCUCUCCGAGUGGUAGGGACGAUUAUUGGGCUUAAAGCGUCCGUAGCCGGCCUGGCAAGUCUCCCGUUAAAUCCAACGAUCCAAUCGUUGGACUGCGGGAGAUACUGUCGGGCUAGGGGGCGGGAGAGGCCGACGGUAUUCUCGGGGUAGGGGUAAAAUCCUAUAAUCCCGGGAAGACCCCAGUGGCGAA